AGUUCAUCCGGGAAUUGCUCAGCUCCGGCUCCCAGAGCUGCUGGCCACGGGAUGUGGUGGGGCACAUCUUCAGCGAGUACAGCCGGAGCUCGGGCAGACUGGCGGCAGGAGGCCUUUUUGCCUGGGAGCCCCAGGAGGACAGAGCUCUUCAGUCCCUGUGCGUGGACAUCCUGGGCUCGCUGGAUGUCACUCGGAGAGGGAUGUCCCAACUCCUGUGGCCCAGGCUGCUGCAGUACGUGGUGCCAGCCCAGUACAGCGGCGUGCUGAUCCCGCUGUCCCGCGGCCUGCGAGCCCUGCUGGAGAGACGGGAGAGAGCGGGAUGUGACGAAGAGGAGGAGCCCGAUGCUGUGGACUCGCCGGAGCAAGGUAGGAGCCCCAGGGAGUGCUGCUGGGUUUGGAAGGGGCUCAGGCCAGUCUGUGUCUCCCUGUGCCCCACGAACCCUGAGCAGGAGCCCAGGAAAAGCAAAGGGC